ACCUAAGCUAUCCAAUUUUUUUGAAAGUAACCCUCAUAAGCUCUGUUAAUCAAAUUUGCAAGUUUCGCUGAUAAUACCUUCUUUUUGAAAAACCCAGAAGGUGUUUUAUUAGUAACUAUGCUUACAUUU
rfam:Arabis alpina cultivar Pajares chromosome 8, whole genome shotgun sequence.